CAGUCCAAACCAGAAUUUGCUGUUUUUCAUUCAGAUUCAUUUUAUGUUCUUUUUUUUUCCUCCCAGUCUGAUAAGUAUCUUCUGUUCUCCAACAGUUUAAAGUUCAAAUCUUUAGAGGAAAAACACCAAAGCCCUGAACCAUUUAUUUUAGUCAAAAAAAAAUAUUAAAAAAUAUGCUAAAAUUUUUUAAAGCUUGAAAACUAAAAACAGUGGAAGGAAUCUUCUUGAAACGUCAGCCGUGUUGAGAAACCUGGUCUGAGCUGUGAUUGGUCAGAGAUGAAGAGAGAGAGCAGAGGUUUGGGGGGGCGGGGAUGCUGAUGUGAUAAAGAGACAGCAGACAUGAACUUAGAGACACUGAGAGGACAUGGAUCAUCCAACACUGAUGCUGCUGGUGACUCUCUGCAGUUCAGGACUCUGUGCUGAACUCCAUUCAGCAGGUUCAGAGGAAUUCAGGCUGGUGGGAGGAGCCAGCCGCUGCACUGG